GAUCCUGGCUCAGGACGAACGCUGGCGGCGCGCCUAACACAUGCAAGUCGAACGGAGAUGAAAAAAGCUUGCUUUGAUCAUCUUAGUGGCGGACGGGUGAGUAACACGUGAGCAACCUGCCUUUCAGAGGGGGAUAGCGUUUGGAAACGAACGCUAAUACCGCAUAACGUAUACGGAUGGCAUCGUCUGUAUACCAAAGGAGCAAUCCGCUGAAAGAUGGGCUCGCGUCCGAUUAG
rnacentral:rRNA from 1 species